UAUAUCUUUAAUUAAUUUAAUAAUACAUGGAAUCUACAUUUUCUUUAUUUUAAAAUAGCAAAUGAAGUUUGCGUAUUCAGUACAUUUUAUGACAAUAGAGUGGGGUAAAAGUUGACUAUAAAAGGUUGAGUAAAUCUGUUCCAGGCAGUGGAUAGAGACAUUUUUGGACUAAUGAUAAUGAAAUUUAAAACAAAUUAUUCAUGUUUUAAAUACAAUACUGAUCCUUUCUUCAACUAACUGCCCUUUGUUUAAGAACGUUUACAAAGGAGUUCUUCAAUUUCAUACUUAAAUAAUCAUUAAUAUGAGACACACUUUGGGCAAUAUUUGAUAAGCAAUUCUACUUAAAGCUCCAUGCAUUACAGUGUGGCUAGAUGAAAUCUGCCCCUGAUGCUGAUGCAUAAUAAAUCUGAAAGUGGUCAGGAUGUUUAAGCGCACAGAAUGAUUUAGUAUCGCAAUGAUAGAGAAAUGAAGAGCAAGGAAAAAUAUCACAAUAUAUUCAACAACAAUAUCACAUUUUCAAGAUUUUCUGAUAUCAUGCAACCCUAAAGUAACAAACUGCAUUUAAUAAAAUUAGGGUAUGAUGUGCUGAAUCAAUGGUUCAAAGCCAAACAACAAAAAUGUUUUUACAUUUUCAUCAUGGAGAUUAAGUGCCAUGCCCAAAUAUCAGUAUAGAUCAUUUUAAAUUAUUCAUAUCCUAGUUUCCUAAUCCCUUUCUGAUCCACACUGUUGAUACACGUCAGCCACAUUCAGUGUUACCAAGUGAGUCAUGCGAUCAUGCUUCGCAAGGUCAAUUUUGAAAACUCAGCUCAUUUGUAUGUGCACAGCUUGCAGAAAUGCAUUUAGGAAGUGCACAUUAUUGUGCAAAUGUUUUAAAGCCUCGACAAUGACAUUCACCGUGAAAGAGAGACUGCGCUGGCUGUUUCAGCUUCAAAAUGUAAAAUGACCUGCAAUCCCUGCUGUGGAACCUCACUGCAACCUUCUGAGGAAAAUCAUCAACCGUUAUCGUCAAACGGAAGAAUAAAAGCGCCAGAAUUAUCCGUGAACUUCAGCUCAAUGCUCCGAACAAAAACAGGAGCAAACACCAGUUUAAACCCAGACUGGCCUGAUAAUGGAGAGCAAAAACAUGGCAAUGUACAGCAGCUUUCUCCCGCACCGAUGAUUCAACCUGGAGGUUUGUGUUAAAAGCAGCGAGUGGGUUCAGGUAAUUAUUUUUCUUUGUAUCUUCUCGCAUUUAAUUCGAUCUUUGAGCAGAUAAAAGCUCUGUGGGUCAAUUUCCUUCAAAAAAUAAAUAAAAAAA